UACGAAUCUAUAAUACUAAAAUUACGAGGUCCAAUUUGUCAGCCGUCAUCACGUAAAAACGACGAAUCAAAGAAUUCAACUUUAUAUAUAACUAAUAUAGUACAAAGGUGUAGAUUAAAAAUUACAUCACUCCAGGCCCUUUUGUUUUCCACGUUAUUAAUAUUGCCAAUAAUUAAGAAGUUCCGGGUCGAGUCCGAUACCGAUACCAAUAGAAUAUUCACCUGUUACCGAUUACCUUAUCUGUACGUUCCGCAUCUGACAGGCGCACCACCAAACGGUGUAUUCUGGAUUAAUAUGCUAUAUAGUAUUACACGGGUCAUAAUCACAGGGUUGACACUACUUAAUUGUCAAAUUGUUACCUAUAGUAGUAUUUUAAUCAGUUAGACUUUCUAAGAUAACAAUACGAAUACUAAAAAUCUGGACUAAAAUAAGGCGUAUAGGUACAGUUUUCAAUUUGUUAGCGGGC
rnacentral:lncRNA from 1 species